rnacentral:rRNA from 1 species
UUCCUUCCGUAGGUGAACCUGCGGAAGGAUCAUUAUCGAGUUUUUGAAACGGGUUGUCGCUGGUCCCAUUCUUAACAGAGUCGGGACAUGUGCACACCUGGCUUCAUUCCACUCUUCAACCCCUGUGCACUUGUUGUAGGUUUCAGGUCGGACGCGGGGCUUUCGACUUCAUCGUCGAGGGCUUCAAGGAAAGCCUGAGCCUAUGUUUUACUACACACACGCUUCAGUUAUAGAAUGUAAACAUCGCGUAUAACGCAUUUUAAAUACAACUUUCAGCAACGGAUCUCUUGGCUCUCGCAUCGAUGAAGAACGCAGCGAAAUGCGAUAAGUAAUGUGAAUUGCAGAAUUCAGUGAAUCAUCGAAUCUUUGAACGCACCUUGCGCUCCUUGGUAUUCCGAGGAGCAUGCCUGUUUGAGUGUCAUGGAAUUCUCAACCUUUGAAAGCUUUUAUUGGUUCUCAAAGGCUUGGACUUGGAGGUCGUGUCGGCUCUGCAAAGAAUAUCGACUCCUCUGAAACGUAUCAGUGCGAACCUUUACGGAUCGUCUUCGGUGUGAUAAACGUCUACGCCGUGGUCGUGAAGUAUGAUCGUGUCCGUGCUUCUAACCGUCUCCUUUGCGAGACAAAAACUGUGUUACUUACUAUAAGUCAACAUAGGCAUUGACAAUCUGACCUCAAAUCAGGUACGACUGGCCCAGCG